UCAGGAUGAACGCCGGCGGUGUGCCUAAUACAUGCAAGUCGAACGCGUUGGCCCAACUGAUUGACGGUGCUUGCACUUGAUUGACGUUGGUUUACCAACGAGUGGCGGACGGGUGAGUAACACGUAGGCAACCUGCCCCGAAGCGGGGGACAACAUCUGGAAACAGGUGCUAAUACCGCAUAACAACUUUGACCGCCUGGUCAAAGUUUAAAAGAUGGUUUCGGCUAUCACUUCGGGAUGGGCCUGCGGCGCAUUAGCUUGUUGGUGGGGUAACGGCCUACCAAGGCGAUGAUGCGUAGCCGAGUUGAGAGACUGAUCGGCCACAAUGGGACUGAGACACGGCCCAUACUCCUACGGGAGGCAGCAGUAGGGAAUCUUCCACAAUGGGCGCAAGCCUGAUGGAGCAACACCGCGUGAGUGAAGAAGGGUUUCGGCUCGUAAAGCUCUGUUGUUGAAGAAGAACGUGCAGGAGAGUAACUGUUCCUGCAGUGACGGUAUUCAACCAGAAAGUCACGGC
rnacentral:rRNA from 1 species